rnacentral:rRNA from 1 species
GGCAUUCAUUUUAAGUAUGUUGUGAACUACUCGAUCCCAUUCCGAACUCGAAACGUAAAAAAACAUACGCUACUCGUACUGCUUAGCUGUGGAACAUGUGUGGUGAUGAAUGCUUG